UCGCUGAGGAGCAAACAUCGUCUGCGCUGCAUCCACCAUUAAACCCUAAGGAAACCCAAUUGAGCAAGGACUGAGAGAGAUGAUGGCAAGGAACCCUAACCGUUUGUUCUCCGCCGGAGCUUUGCUCGCGAGAAGGCUCUGUACUGCGGCUGUGGCGACAGAGACGGAGGAGGUGGCGGUGCAGGCGGCGAGCCGAAGUGUAAGACAACCGCCGCUCUAUCGUCGGUUGUCAGCUUUGGGAGCCACCGGCGGGAGUGUGGCAGAUACGUUAAACGAGUACAUCAAGGAGGGAAAAUUCAUUGCAAAGCAUGACCUCUCAAGUUGCAUCAAGCAGCUGCGGAAGUACCGUCAGUUCCAGCAUGCACUUGAGAUAAUGGAUUGGAUGGAGAAUAGGAAGAUUUUCUUCUCCUAUGCUGACUAUGCAGUACGCCUGGAUCUUUUAUCAAAAACCAAGGGGUUAGCCACAGCUGAGGAAUACUUCAACAACCUCUCACCAUCAGCAAAGAACCUAUUAACUUAUGGAACUCUUCUAAACUGCUAUUGCAAAGAAAAGAUGGAAGAGAAGGCAUUGGCUCUCUUUGAGAAGAUGGAUGAAUUGAACUUUGCUUCUACUUCUUUGACGUUUAACAAUCUAAUGUCCCUACAUAUGAGAUUGGGCAAGCCAGAGAUGGUUCCUCCCCUAGUAGAUGAAAUGAAGAAGAGGAGCAUCUCUCCAGACACCUUUACUUAUAAUAUCUUGAUGCAGAGCUAUGCACGUUUAAAUGAUAUCGAGGGUGCAGAGAGAGUUUUAGAGGAGAUUAAAAGGGAGAAUGAAGACAAGCUCAGUUGGACAACUUAUAGUAACCUUGCUGCAGUUUAUGUCAAUGCUAGGCUUUUUGAGAAAGCGGAGUUAGCUCUUAAAAAGCUAGAGGAAGAGAUGGGCUUUCAUGACCGUCUGGCUUACCAUUUUCUUAUUAGUCUUUAUGCUGGCAUUAAUAAUCUUAGUGAGGUUAAUCGGGUAUGGAAUUCUUUGAAGUCAGCUUUUCCAAAAACUAAUAAUAUGAGCUAUUUCGUUAUGUUUCAGGCUCUUGCUAACCUUAAUGAUGUGGAUGGCUUAAAAAUUUGUUUUGAGGAAUGGAAGUCAAGUUGCUUCAGUUUUGAUGUGAGGUUAGCAAAUGUUGCCGUUAGGGCUUUCCUAGGAUGGGAUAUGAUCAAAGAUGCUGAAUCAAUCCUUUAUGAGGCUGUUAAGAGAUCUUCAGGACCCUUUUAUACUGCACUGGACAUGUUCAUGGCUCACCACUUGAAGGACCGUGAAAUUGAUACGGCUCUGAAAUACAUGGAAGCAGCUGCUUCUGAAGUUAAGAACAAUGAAUGGCAGCCAGCCCCAGAACGAGUACUGGCAUUUCUGAAGUAUUUUGAGGAAGAGAAAGAUGUGGAGGGUGCUGAGAAGUUCUGCAAGAUCUUAAAGAACAUCAGUGGUCUUGAUUCAAAUGCCUACCAACUAUUGCUUCAGACUUACAUAGCUGCUGGCAGAACAGAACCCGAGAUGCGGAAGAGGAUGAAGGAGGAUGAUAUUGAAGUGGACUCCAAGAUUGAGGAUUUGCUUCAAAGGGUUUGCCCUGAAUAGAUCAGAGACUGUAGGAUAGUCCUCCAGAACAAGACAAAACGUUAAAACUUCUUUAAUUCUUUCAUUUAGUGAAUCUGCAAUCAGCACAGUUGAUGGAUGCAGCAACUCCUGGAGCUAGCUCUCACUUGAGUCAUCACGUAUGGGUUUCAAGAGUUGUAUCUGAGCUUGGUUGUUGUGAUAAUGCUUUAUAUGGUGUGGAGCUGAACUGUGGCAAUGGAUCUGAACAGAAUAGAAUUUAGAGGGAUUGCCGAAGUGCCUGGAGAAUAUUGUCAAUUCAUUGGCAGACUGGACCCUGCAUUUCCUUAGGCUCAAGGUGUUGUUUAUAAUGUCUUCAUUCUAAACCUAAGGAAUGGUUUUGCGGUAUUCUGCAUUUUGAAGCGAAACUGGAUAUUGUUGGGCUCCCUCGUAUGUGAGAGAGUGGUUACAUAUGCUUGGGGACCACAUUGGUUGCAUUGGACAUGACAAAAAGGGACAAUUUUUUUUUUUUUAAAAAAAAAGGGAAAAACAAAGAGAAGAGAAGAGAGAAAAUCGCAUCUCCCUACCCAAAUUUCACCAACAAGUCGAUUCACCUUCAUUUGUGAUCCGAUCGAGUUGAAAUUUGGAAGAGAGGUUUGAAACUCAAGUAGCUAAAAUUUGAAUGGUGGAGAUCAGAUUUUGAGCUCAGGAAUUGAUGUUACUGCCCGUGAACAGUAACAACGCUUUUGGUAUACUUUCUCCAAUUUUCUUUGUUUUGUCAAGAAAGAUUGUAUAAUCCAAGGUUAUAUGUGUUCUUGAUGGAUUUGGCAGUCUUUGGAGAUUAUUCUAGAAAAGACAAGUGUGACUCAUUAUUGUUGAUAGUGGAAGUUUGAAUUGAAUUAAGUUUUGUGGUUUUUCCCUUCGCA